rnacentral:rRNA from 1 species
UACGGAGGGUGCGAGCGUUGUCCGGAAUCACUGGGCGUAAAGGGCGCGUAGGCGGCGCGGGGAGUCAACGGUGAAAGCUCGGCGCUCAACGCCGAGUCGGCCGUCGAUACUCCCGUGCUCGAGCACUGUACGAGGCAGGUGGAAUUCCGGGUGUAGGCGGUGGAAUGGCGUAGAGAUCCGGAAGAACACCGGUGGCGAAGGCGGCCUGCUGGGCAGUAGCUGGACGCUGAGGCGCCGACGCGUGGGGAG